UGCAGUGGGUACGGGCAGACUAGAGUGCGGUAGGGGAGAUUGGAAUUCCUGGUGUAGCGGUGGAAUGCGCAGAUAUCAGGAGGAACACCGAUGGCGAAGGCAGAUCUCUGGGCCGUAACUGACGCUGAGGAGCGAAAGCAUGGGGAGCGAACAGGAUUAGAUACCCUGGUAGUCCAUGCCGUAAACGUUGGGAACUAGAUGUGGGGACCAUUCCACGGUCUCCGUGUCGCAGCUAACGCAUUAAGUUCCCCGCCUGGGGAGUACGGCCGCAAGGCUAAAACUCAAAGGAAUUGACGGGGGCCCGCACAAGCGGCGGAGCAUGCGGAUUAAUUCGAUGCAACGCGAAGAACCUUACCAAGGCUUGACAUAUACCGGAAACAUGCAGAAAUGUGUGCCCCGCAAGGUCGGUAUACAGGUGGUGCAUGGUUGUCGUCAGCUCGUGUCGUGAGAUGUUGGGUUAAGUCCCGCAACGAGCGCAACCCUCGUUCUAUGUUGCCAGCACGUAAUGGUGGGAACUCAUAGGAGACUGCCGGGGUCAACUCGGAGGAAGGUGGGGAUGACGUCAAAUCAUCAUGCCCCUUAUGUCUUGGGCUUCACGCAUGCUACAAUGGCCGGUACAAAGGGCUGCGAUACCGUAAGGUGGAGCGAAUCCCAAAAAGCCGGUCUCAGUUCGGAUUGAGGUCUGCAACUCGACCUCAUGAAGUCGGAGUCGCUAGUAAUCGCAGAUCAGCAACGCUGCGGUGAAUACGUUCCCGGGCCUUGUACACACCGCCCGUCAAGUCAUGAAAGUCGGUAACACCCGAAGCCAGUGGCCUAACCGCAAGGGAGGAGCUGUCGAA
rnacentral:rRNA from 1 species